ensembl:lncRNA
CAGUGGUGUGUGCCUAUAGUUCCAGCUGAGGCAGGAGGAUCUCUUGGGCCCAGGAGUUCAAGGCCAGCCUAGGCAACAUAGCAAGACCCUUUCUCAAAAAUAAAGAAAUUUAAAUUUAAAAAGCAGUCUUUUAUAUAUAGCAAACAAUUUGAAAGAAUACAAAAAUAUGUGAAGUUCAUUUAAAAAAAACUACAGUAUAGCGCUGGUACAGUACACUAAAAGACUUUGAUAAAAAGAAACAAUAAUAAAAGGCCUCCAUUUUAAAUGUCAUUCAUAUAUACCUUGUGGAUGAGAGCUAUAUACUUUUACACACUUUUUCAGAGGAAUAAAUUAUUGAAUUACUGAAAAAAAAAUUUAAAAAGCAAAAGAAAGAAUAAGGUUUGGGGGUGUAUAGCUCAGCAGUAGAGAAUGUGCUUAGCAUAUGUGAAGCCCUGGGUUCAACCCCCAGCACCAAAAAGGGAAAAAAUGAGACAUAUAUGUUUAUUGACUUUUAAAUUGAAGGUUUUGAUCUGUGCACUUUUCUGUAUAUUUGCUAUAAUUGAAUAAAGUAAAUCAGUUAAGUCCCAUUUCUCCCCAAAUCUGAGCAUGGCAAAGCACCUUCCCAUACACUGGCAGAUACUUUGGAUAGGAUUUUGAGAACCAUGGGUUUCCAACUGUGAGGAUGGGAGACACCGCUCACCGCUGAGGUGGGAGUGUCAUGGUGAGAGCAGGGAGGAAGGGAGAGGAACAUAUUGAACACUGAGAGUCCCAGAUAAAGACCUAGAGCAGUACGGCGAACCUAUGGCAUGUUAUUGUGUUUUUCCUUUAAGACAAAAGAUGUUAAUGUAAAAUUGUUUUUUGUAAACUAAAACCUCAGUAUUCAGGUUUAAUUGCAGUGCUGGCACUUUGUGCUAAGUAAGCGGUUUUCAGGUUGCAGUCUGGCACUUGUCUCUAAACAGGUCGCCGUCAGGGCUCUGGAGUUACUGGCUGUGGGCUCCCCAGUGAAUACAGAGUCUCAUGGUCCACGAGUCCCUUUCACAGCACAGAUUUCCAUCUGUCCCUCAUGUACAACCAACACCCCACACCUCCAACCUGAGCUGGAGCCCAGGGCCUUGUGUACACUCACCAAUUUAUCACUGAGCUACAACUCAGCCCACUCUACUAAGUUUGGAACUCUCACUGGUUUUUUUUUUUGUUUCUGAGACAAGGUCUUGCCAUGUAGCCCAGGCUGGCCUUGAACUCAUGGUGAUUCUCCUGUUUCAGCCUUCUGAGCGCUGGGAUUACAGAUGUAUGCCACUGUGCCUGGCUAUUCUCAAUGUUUACCACGAUCUCACAGCCAAGGAUCACCUAAAAGAGACUGAAGCAAAGCAGAGAAACAAAGUGCAACAAAGAAAAGACAUGAAGGUAGAUAGGAACAUUAAAAAUUAGGGGCUGUGGGCCAGGGAUUUAGCUCAGUGGUUCCUCUGCCUGCCUCAAAAGCGCAAGGUCCCAAGUUCGAUCCUUGGUACCAAAAAAAAAAAAAAUUAGGGGCUGGCAGUGUAGCUCAGUGGUGGAGGACUUACUUGCCCAACUAGUGUAAGAUCCUGGGUUCCAUUCCCAAUACUCACCCACCUCCCCAAACCCCAAAUAUUCCCGGAAAGGAUCAUUCAUUCAUCCUUUCUCAAAGGUUACUUUUUUUUUUUUUUUGGUACCGGGGAUCAAACUCGUGUCCUUGUGCUUCCGCAGCAGGCAGCGAAACCACUGAGCUAAAUUCCCAGCCCUCAAAGGUUACUAUUAGGUGCCCUAUGUCCCAAGCAUGGUUAACUGCUUGGAAUAUCAGUGAUGUAAACAAAAAU